CGCGUAGGCGGCCAUGUAAGUCAGAUGUGAAAGCCCGGGGCUCAACCCCGGAAGUGCAUUUGAUACUGUAUGGCUUGAGUAUGGGAGAGGGAAGUGGAAUUCCUGGUGUAGAGGUGAAAUUCGUAGAUAUCAGGAGGAACACCGGUGGCGAAGGCGACUUCCUGGACCAAUACUGACGCUGAGGCGCGAAGGCGUGGGGAGCAAACA
rnacentral:rRNA from 1 species